UCGAACGAACUCUGGUAUUGAUUGGUGCUUGCAUCAUGAUUUACAUUUGAGUGAGUGGCGAACUGGUGAGUAACACGUGGGAAACCUGCCCAGAAGCGGGGGAUAACACCUGGAAACAGAUGCUAAUACCGCAUAACAACUUGGACCGCAUGGUCCGAGCUUGAAAGAUGGCUUCGGCUAUCACUUUUGGAUGGUCCCGCGGCGUAUUAGCUAGAUGGUGAGGUAACGGCUCACCAUGGCAAUGAUACGUAGCCGACCUGAGAGGGUAAUCGGCCACAUUGGGACUGAGACACGGCCCAAACUCCUACGGGAGGCAGCAGUAGGGAAUCUUCCACAAUGGACGAAAGUCUGAUGGAGCAACGCCGCGUGAGUGAAGAAGGGUUUCGGCUCGUAAAACUCUGUUGUUAAAGAAGAACAUAUCUGAGAGUAACUGUUCAGGUAUUGACGGUAUUUAACCAGAAAGCCACGGCUAACUACGUGCCAGCAGCCGCGGUAAUACGUAGGUGGCAAGCGUUGUCCGGAUUUAUUGGGCGUAAAGCGAGCGCAGGCGGUUUUUUAAGUCUGAUGUGAAAGCCUUCGGCUCAACCGAAGAAGUGCAUCGGAAACUGGGAAACUUGAGUGCAGAAGAGGACAGUGGAACUCCAUGUGUAGCGGUGAAAUGCGUAGAUAUAUGGAAGAACACCAGUGGCGAAGGCGGCUGUCUGGUCUGUAACUGACGCUGAGGCUCGAAAGUAUGGGUAGCAAACAGGAUUAGAUACCCUGGUAGUCCAUACCGUAAACGAUGAAUGCUAAGUGUUGGAGGGUUUCCGCCCUUCAGUGCUGCAGCUAACGCAUUAAGCAUUCCGCCUGGGGAGUACGGCCGCAAGGCUGAAACUCAAAGGAAUUGACGGGGGCCCGCACAAGCGGUGGAGCAUGUGGUUUAAUUCGAAGCUACGCGAAGAACCUUACCAGGUCUUGACAUACUAUGCAAAUCUAAGAGAUUAGACGUUCCCUUCGGGGACAUGGAUACAGGUGGUGCAUGGUUGUCGUCAGCUCGUGUCGUGAGAUGUUGGGUUAAGUCCCGCAACGAGCGCAACCCUUAUUAUCAGUUGCCAGCAUUAAGUUGGGCACUCUGGUGAGACUGCCGGUGACAAACCGGAGGAAGGUGGGGAUGACGUCAAAUCAUCAUGCCCCUUAUGACCUGGGCUACACACGUGCUACAAUGGAUGGUACAACGAGUUGCGAACUCGCGAGAGUAAGCUAAUCUCUUAAAGCCAUUCUCAGUUCGGAUUGUAGGCUGCAACUCGCCUACAUGAAGUCGGAAUCGCUAGUAAUCGCGGAUCAGCAUGCCGCGGUGAAUACGUUCCCGGGCCUUGUACACACCGCCCGUCACACCAUGAGAGUUUGUAACACCCAAAGUCGGUGGG
rnacentral:rRNA from 2 species